rnacentral:rRNA from 1 species
GAUGAACGCUGGCGGCGUGCUUAAUACAUGCAAGUCGAACGGAGAAUGUAGCAAUACGUUCUUAGUGGCGAACGGGUGAGUAACGCGUUGGUGACCUGCCCCGAAGAGAGGGAUACCAAUCCGAAAGGAUUGUUAAUACCUCAUGUGAUCAUUGGUUUUAGAAUCUGAUGAUUAAAUGGAGAAUUUCGCUUCGGGAGGGACCUGCGUACCAUCAGCUAGUUGGUGAGGUAAUGGCUCACCAAGGCUUUGACGGGUAGCCGGCCUGAGAGGGCGACCGGCCACACUGGGACUGAGAUACGGCCCAGACUCCUACGGGAGGCAGCAGUGGGGAAUAUUGCACAAUGGACGGAGGUCUGAUGCAGCAACGCCGCGUGCGGGAUGAAGGCCUUCGGGUUGUAAACCGCUUUCACCGCCGACGAAUGUAGACGGUAGGCGGAGAAGAAGCACCGGCUAACUACGUGCCAGCCGCCGCAGUAA